rnacentral:rRNA from 1 species
AACGAACGCUGGCGGCAUGCCUAACACAUGCAAGUCGAACGAGACCUUCGGGUCUAGUGGCGCACGGGUGCGUAACGCGUGGGAACCUGCCCUUAGGUUCGGAAUAACUCCCCGAAAGGGGUGCUAAUACCGGAUAAUGUCUUCGGACCAAAGUUUUAUCGCCUUUGGAUGGGCCCGCGUUGGAUUAGCCAGUUGGUAGGGUAAAAGCCUACCAAGGCGACGAUCCAUAGCUGGUCUGAGAGGAUGAUCAACCACACUGGGACUGAGACACGGCCCAGACUCCUGCGGGAGGCAGCAGUGGGGAAUACUGGACAAUGGGCGAAAGCCUGAUCCAGCAAUGCCGCGUGAGUGAUGAAGGCCUUAGGGUUGUAAAGCUCUUUUACCCGGGAUGAUAAUGACAGUACCGGGAGAAUAAGCUCCGGCUAACUCCGUG